UGGGGAAUUUUGGACAAUGGGCGAAAGCCUGAUCCAGCGAUGCCGCGUGUGUGAAGAAGGCCUUCGGGUUGUAAAGCACUUUUGUCCGGAAAGAAAUCCUUGGCUCUAAUACAGUCGGGGGAUGACGGUACCGGAAGAAUAAGCACCGGCUAACUACGUGCCAGCAGCCGCGGUAAUACGUAGGGUGCAAGCGUUAAUCGGAAUUACUGGGCGUAAAGCGUGCGCAGGCGGUUUGCUAAGACCGAUGUGAAAUCCCCGGGCUCAACCUGGGAACUGCAUUGGUGACUGGCAGGCUAGAGUAUGGCAGAGGGGGGUAGAAUUCCACGUGUAGCAGUGAAAUGCGUAGAGAUGUGGAGGAAUACCGAUGGCGAAGGCAGCCCCCUGGGCCAAUACUGACGCUCAUGCACGAAAGCGUGGGGAGCAAACAGGAUUAGAUACCCUGGUAGUCCACGCCCUAAACGAUGUCAACUAGUUGUUGGGGAUUCAUUUCCUUAGUAACGUAGCUAACGCGUGAAGUUGACCGCCUGGGGAGUACGGUCGCAAGAUUAAAACUUAAAUGAAUUGACGGGGUCAUAGCUG
rnacentral:rRNA from 1 species